GAUGAACGCUGGCGGCGUGCCUAAUACAUGCAAGUCGAGCGAACAGACGAGGAGCUUGCUCCUCUGACGUUAGCGGCGGACGGGUGAGUAACACGUGGAUAACCUACCUAUAAGACUGGGAUAACUUCGGGAAACCGGAGCUAAUACCGGAUAAUAUAUUGAACCGCAUGGUUCAAUAGUGAAAGACGGUUUUGCUGUCACUUAUAGAUGGAUCCGCGCCGCAUUAGCUAGUUGGUAAGGUAACGGCUUAACAAGGCUACGAUGCGAAGCCGACCUGAAGGGGUGAUCGCCCACACUGGAACUGAGACACGGUCCAGACUCCUACGGGAGGACGCAGUAGGGAAUCUUACGCAAUGGGCGAAAGCCUGACGGAGCAACAGCGCGUGAGUGAUGAAGGUCUUCGGAUCGUAAAACUCUGUUAUUAGGGAAGAACAAAUGUGUAAGUAACUAUGCACGUAUUGACGGUACCUAAUCAGAAAGCCACGGCUAACUACGUG
rnacentral:rRNA from 1 species